AUACAGAGGGUGCAAGCGUUAAUCGGAAUUACUGGGCGUAAAGCGCGCGUAGGUGGUUCAGUAAGAUGGAAGUGAAAUCCCCGGGCUUAGCCUGGGAACUGCUUUCAUAACUGCUGAGCUAGAGUACGGUAGAGGGUAGUGGAAUUUCCUGUGUAGCGGUGAAAUGCGUAGAUAUAGGAAGGAACACCAGUGGCGAAGGCGACUACCUGGACUGAUACUGACACUGAGGGGCGAAAGCGUGGGGAGCAAACAGGAUUAGAUACCCUGGUAUUCCACGCCGUAAACGAUGUCAACUAGCCGUUGGGAACCUUGAGUUCUUAGUGGCGCAGCUAACGCACUAAGUUGACCGCCUGGGGAGUACGGUCGCAAGAUUAAAACUCAAAUGAAUUGACGGGG
rnacentral:rRNA from 1 species